UGGAAGAACUCUCUUUAAGGAACUCUGCAAAAUAGCACCGUAUCUUCGGUAUAAGGUGUGGUUCGCUUGGUAUUAGAAUUUACUUCGAAAGCCAAGAAACUUACAACAAAGAGUCCCUCCCGACUGUUUACCAAAAACACAGCACUCUGCUAACUCGUAAGAGGAUGUAUAGGGUGUGACGCCUGCCCGGUGCUCGAAGGUUAAUUGAUGGGGUUAGCAUUAGCGAAGCUCUUGAUCGAAGCCCGAGUAAACGGCGGCCGUAACUAUAACGGUCCUAAGGUAGCGAAAUUCCUUGUCGGUUAAAUACCGACCUGCAUGAAUGGCGUAACGAGAUGGGAGCUGUCUCAAAGAGGGAUCCAGUGAAAUUGUAGUGGAGGUGAAAAUUCCUCCUACCCGCGGCAAGACGGAAAGACCCCGUGGACCUUUACUAUAACUUGACACUGCUAUUUGGAUAAGAAUGUGCAGGAUAGGUGGGAGGCUUUGAUUAUAUGACGUCAGUUGUAUAGGAGCCAUUGUUGAGAUACCACUCUUUCUUAUUUGGGUAGCUAACUAGCCUAAGUUAUCCUUAGGUAGGACAAUGUCUGGUGGGUAGUUUGACUGGGGCGGUCGCCUCCCAAAUAAUAACGGAGGCUUACAAAGGUUGGCUCAGAACGGUUGGAAAUCGUUCGUAGAGUAUAAAGGUAUAAGCCAGCUUAACUGCAAGACAUACAAGUCAAGCAGAGACGAAAGUCGGUCUUAGUGAUCCGGUGGUUCUGUGUGGAAGGGCCAUCGCUCAAAGGAUAAAAGGUACCCCGGGGAUAACAGGCUGAUCUCCCCCAAGAGCUCACAUCGACGGGGAGGUUUGGCACCUCGAUGUCGGCUCAUCGCAUCCUGGGGCUGGAGCAGGUCCCAAGGGUAUGGCUGUUCGCCAUUUAAAGCGGUACGCGAGCUGGGUUCAGAACGUCGUGAGACAGUUCGGUCCCUAUCUGCCGUGGGCGUAAGAAGAUUGAAGAGAUUUGACCCUAGUACGAGAGGACCGGGUUGAACAAACCACUGGUGUAGCUGUUGUUCUGCCAAGAGCAUCGCAGCGUAGCUAAGUUUGGAAAGGAUAAACGCUGAAAGCAUCUAAGCGUGAAGCCAACUCUAAGAUGAAUCUUCUCUAAGCUCUCUAGAAGACUACUAGUUUGAUAGGCUGGGUGUGUAAUGGAUGAAAGUCCUUUAGCUGACCAGUACUAAUAGAGCGUUUGGCUUAUCUUUAAUAAAGCAU
rnacentral:rRNA from 1 species